UCACAUAUAUAUCUCCAUUCACAUAUCACAAACAAAUUGAGUUCUAUAACUCAAUUAUCUUUAGUCAUAAUUUGACUUUAGCAAUUCGUAUAGCAUUGACAUUCAAAAAAUAAAUUUCAACAUAUUUACAAGGAUUUCAUUAUAAUGCAAUAACAAUUGCAAAUAACCAACAUCGAGUUCACAUAAUACAAGUAAACAGAAAAACUUGCCUUUAUUACAAAUUGUUAUCAGGUCUACUUGAUAUCGCGUACUCGAAGCAAUGCUAUCUCAUAUCGCACCUAUAUAGCAUACAUAAGGUUGUUAUGUAGGUUAAUGCAUUUAUAUCCCAUGAACUAUUAACUUAACUUUGUAUUUUUCAGGCUUAGUAAUUAUUCAUUCUUAAUUAACUUUAUCAAAUUUAUUAGAUUAAUUUAUAAUAUUAUAGGUUAAUAGUAGGUCAAAAUACGCUAUUAAACGUCUAAUUAUAUCAUCAUAUGUCACAAUAUAUCAGUCCUCCAAGUUUCGUUUUAAAACGAAUUAUAAAACUCAUUUGAACUAUUUUAAUCGUUAACGAACCUUGUUUGUCGUUUAAUCACAACUUCUUCGUUACUUAUCCGUUUUGGUUCAUUCUUACGCCAAAUUAAAGCUUAUUUCAUCUAAUUUAACACCAUGUAGGCCUGAUUUCAGUUCUUUUACCAUUCGAUACAGAAAAUUUCCCAAAGUUGCUGCCCAAAAUUUGUCCAGAUUCUGAAAAUUUGCAUUUUGGUAAUUUUCGGGCUAGUUUUGGGAAUUUUUAUCUCAUUCGUUAUACAUCUGAUUGAAGACAUUUUUGAAUAUGUUCUACCUCAUAAUAUUUUUAAAAAAUAUAACAUGUAUGAAAAGAGUUUGGCAAGUCUUCGAAACAGUGGCCCAAAACAGCCCAUUCACAACAGUUUCAGACUUAGAAAUUUCCAGAUUCCCAACAACUUUGUUAUUUUCCUACCUACUUUGCGACUUAAUAACUUGCAAACCAUACAUCUGAUUAACUUCAAUAUUGGAUAUGUUUGAGAUGUAACUACAUAGUAUUUUAGAAAAAUAUUAUUUGCCCAAAAUGAAUUCUCUAAGGCAUACUUAUAGAGGCUCAAAAUUCCCAGUUCUUCAAAAAAUUUAGCUUCAAACUAAUUUGGUAAAAUCUUUUGAUUUCAAUUUUAAACUGAAUUUAAACCAUCCACAUGGUUCAAGCUAUCUUAAAUUUCACAUUUACAUAUCUCUUAGCAUCAAGCUUUGCUCAAAUCUCAAAUUUUAAGCAUUAAACCUCUUUGCGGUAUUUUAUUAAGCAUCUUACAUGCAUAAUCUAAAUUUCCAGAUUUCAUACAUGUUUAGGCAUGGAAUAGGCCUAAAAUUUCCAUCCUUAUCACUCCAGAUUUCAUUUACUAUCUUUAUCAUACCAAUUCACAACCAUGCACAUCAAUAUAUAGCAACAAUCAACUAUUCUCUAUCUCAAUUCAUGAACUUAACAAAUAAAACUAACUUACCUCUUUGUAGCUUGAUGUUAUGAUCAAAUCCUUGCUCCAACUUUAAAUUAGUUGAGUUAAAUUCUUCUUUUGGACUGCACCUUACUCCAAUUUCUCUUCAAUUUCAGUUACCAACUUCAAUCUUUAGAGAAUUUGAUGAAUACUCAUGUUUUGGUAGUAGAGAAAUAUAUAGAAA
rnacentral:lncRNA from 1 species